rnacentral:rRNA from 1 species
AGUGAACGCUGGCGGUAGGCCUAACACAUGCAAGUCGAACGGCAGCACAGUAAGAGCUUGCUCUUACGGGUGGCGAGUGGCGGACGGGUGAGGAAUACAUCGGAAUCUACUUUUUCGUGGGGGAUAACGUAGGGAAACUUACGCUAAUACCGCAUACGACCUACGGGUGAAAGCAGGGGAUCUUCGGACCUUGCGCGAUUGAAUGAGCCGAUGUCGGAUUAGCUAGUUGGCGGGGUAAAGGCCCACCAAGGCGACGAUCCGUAGCUGGUCUGAGAGGAUGAUCAGCCACACUGGAAAUGAGACACGGUCCAGACUCCUAAGGGAGGCAGCAGUGGGGAAUAUUGGACAAUGGGCGCAAGCCUGAUCCAGCCAUACCGCGUGGGUGAAGAAGGCCUUCGGGUUGUAAAGCCCUUUUGUUGGGAAAGAAAAGCAGCAGGUUAAUACCCCGCUGUUCUGACGGUACCCAAAGAAUAAGCACCGGCUAACUUCGUG